GAUGAAGAUCGCAGCGAAAUGCGAUACGUAAUGUGAAUUGCAAAUUCAGUGAAUCAUCGAGUCUUUGAACGCACAUUGCGCCCCCUGGUAUUCCGGGGGGCAUGCCUGUCCGAGCGUCAUUGCUGCCCUCAAGCACGGCUUGUGUGUUGGGCCCCGUCCUCCGAUCCCGGGGGACGGGCCCGAAAGGCAGCGGCGGCACCGCGUCCGGUCCUCGAGCGUAUGGGGCUUUGUCACCCGCUCUGUAGGCCCGGCCGGCGCUUGCCGAUCAACCCAAAUUUUUAUCCAGGUUGACCUCGGAUCAGGUAGGGAUACCCGCUGAACUUAAGCAUAUCAAUAAGCGGAGGA
rnacentral:misc_RNA from 1 species